UUUAUGGAGAGUUUGAUCCUGGCUCAGGAUGAACGCUGGCGGCGUGCCUAAUACAUGCAAGUCGAGCGAACGGACGAGAAGCUUGCUUCUCUGAUGUUAGCGGCGGACGGGUGAGUAACACGUGGAUAACCUACCUAUAAGACUGGGAUAACUUCGGGAAACCGGAGCUAAUACCGGAUAAUAUUUUAAACCGCAUGGUUCAAAAGUGAAAGACGGUCUUGCUGUCACUUAUAGAUGGAUCCGCGCUGCAUUAGCUAGUUGGUAAGGUAACGGCUUACCAAGGCAACGAUGCAUAGCCGACCUGAGAGGGUGAUCGGCCACACUGGAACUGAGACACGGUCCAGACUCCUACGGGAGGCAGCAGUAGGGAAUCUUCCGCAAUGGGCGAAAGCCUGACGGAGCAACGCCGCGUGAGUGAUGAAGGUCUUCGGAUCGUAAAACUCUGUUAUUAGGGAAGA
rnacentral:rRNA from 1 species